CGUAGUCGAUGGGAAACAGGUUAAUAUUCCUGUACUUGGUGUUACUGCGAAGGGGGGACGGAGAAGGCUAUGUUAGCCGGGCGACGGUUGUCCCGGUUUAAGCAUGUAGGCUGGUUAUCCAGGCAAAUCCGGAUAACCAAGGCUGAGGUGUGAUGACGAGGCACUACGGUGCUGAAGUAACAAAUGCCCUGCUUCCAGGAAAAGCCUCUAAGCAUCAGGUAACAUCAAAUCGUACCCCAAACCGACACAGGUGGUCAGGUAGAGAAUACCAAG
rnacentral:rRNA from 1 species